rnacentral:snRNA from 1 species
GGAUGUGAGGGAGAUCUGGCUGUGACAUCUGUCACCCGUUCAUCUCCAGGGUCGAUUCAACUGGCAAGUGUCCUCUUCCUACCUCGCUGUAUGUGUUCCUCCUGAUGAGCUACCUGCUCGGUUGAAGACAAUGUCCUUCCCUCAUAGAGGAGGACCAUUCUUCACAAGUGCCUGUGCUCCCCUGCUUAAACCUCCAAACACACUCUUAAAUGAAAGUGGGGCAUAAUGACAGACACCUGAAACCCCAACAUCUAUGGGGCUGAGGCAGGAGGAUUGCAAGGUUAAGGCCACUCUGG